rnacentral:rRNA from 1 species
UACGGGGGGGGCAAGCGUUGUUCGGAAUUACUGGGCGUAAAGGGCUCGUAGGCGGCCAACUAAGUCAGACGUGAAAUCCCUCGGCUUAACCGGGGAACUGCAUCUGAUACUGGAUGGCUUGAGAUUGGGAGAGGGAUGCGGAAUUCCAGGUGUAGCGGUGAAAUGCGUAGAUAUCAGGAGGAACACCGGUGGCGAAGGCGGUUCUCUGGGCAUUACCUGACGCUGAGGAGCGAAAAGUGUGGGGAGCGAACAGG